UACGUAGGGGGCUAGCGUUGUCCGGAUUUAUUGGGCGUAAAGAGCGUGUAGGCGGCCAGAUAGGUCUGCUGUGAAAACUCGAGGCUCAACCUCGAGCUGUCGGCGGAAACCAUUUGGCUAGAGUCCGGAAGAGGAGAAUGGAAUUCCCGGUGUAGCGGUGAAAUGCGCAGAUAUCGGGAAGAACACCCGUGGCGAAGGCGGUUCUCUGGGACGGUACUGACGCUGAGACGCGAAAGCGUGGGGAGCGAACAGG
rnacentral:rRNA from 1 species